CCGUGCCGGCCGGGGGGCCAGCGGGCCCCUGUAACCCGAAGUCCGCUGCAUGCGGGGGCAAUGAAGCAUCGAGGGCUGCGCUUUUCGCCGCUGCCCUGUGCCCAAAGCUGUGAGAGGCCGGUCCCGCGCAACGUGAAGCCGUGAACCAUGUCAGGCGGGGAACCGAGCAGCAUUAAGCGGCACCUUGCGUGUGCCGCGGGUCAACCGACCUUGAGCCGAGGGUGCAGGUCCCG
rnacentral:SRP_RNA from 1 species